UCACCCGCUGGGGACCACGUUCGAGCUCGGGUCUCCCUCCAUCCCGCCUGGUGCUGUGGCUCCCGGGCCCUCGGCACACACUGAAAUCUGUCCUUUCAGGUGAUUCCCAGAAACCCCCAUCAGGAGGCGCCCCAGCUCUUAUUGCGACUUUGCACCUGAAGAAGCUGAGGCUCCACAAGGUCACCCAGCUGAACAAACCCAAGUCCUCGGCUCUCACUCUGGGGAUAACUGCGGAAGAAGCCACUUUGGGAGGCAGGACCCGUGAAUUCCUAGGAAGAGGCUGCAGGUUUGCAGGGGCACAGCUGAAAGGCAACGAAGGCUCACUGGGGGACUACUGGGCUCCCACUCCAUCCAAACAGGUUCCACGGAUCUAAGAUGGAAGAACUUUGUCCUUGAGCUGAAUCCAAAUCCACUCACAGGAGCCCUCGGGAAAGGGGAUCAUUUAACAUCAGAGGGGCUGCCGGAGCUCUCCAAGGAAAGGUGCUGGAACAGAAAUGGCCUCCAAUCCUGACACAUGGCCCUGUGAGCACUUAACACCCUCUUCUCCGGGAGUGAGAAGAGGCUCUGUCUCCACGCAGCCCUAGACUUUCCUGGAUGCGAUUUUGGCAAGCUGCUCCCGGACAGCUAAAAGCCUCUCGCUCACCCCUCUGCUAAUGCUUGACCCAUCAGCCACCUGGAGAGGGCUCCCUCAGCCUGGAGAGUGAGGAAGGUAGGGAGGUGACAACCCCAGAGAAGAACAGACACUUCUAGUCCAUGGUGCUUAUGGUUCCCUGACAAUAUGUAAACAAGGAUUCUCUCUAAAGAUGGAAAUGGAUAACCAUCUCUACUUGCUGCCCUUGGCAACUCCGACCCACUCUCCCAUAAUUCCACUAGUGCAAGUCCACUUAAUGUGUUGGAGUCCUUCCAAACCUGCUGACAUUGAGACGGCAACACUUGGGAUCACCCGAUGAUUGUAAUGAAAAAGAUGAGCUUCAGUUUCUGGAGGACUGUAGCAUUUAAACAUUAAAAUAUUAUAUUACCCUUUUGAA